CCAGAACAGGAAUGGCUCCUACAAGUGUGAACCUCAAGGCGCAGUGUGUCUACUCUGUGGCUGUCGCAGAAGGCUGAUGCCCAGGUUGAGAGCCAAUGGGCUAGAGGAAGACUGCCCUCCUGCAGGCUUGGGCUGUCUCAAGGAUUCUAAAGGCAAACUCACCUCCCAUUUUCAUCUACCAAAAAGAAGCUGCUGAAAGGAAGUUUUAACAGCUGUCUGCUUCCGGACAAGGUGGAGUCUUCAGGCCAAUAAGCCUGUUCUGCAGGUAAGGGAGAGCUUCACGUCUUCCUCUGCAAACCGGUUUCCUAUGUUAUUGCUUCAGUUCAGUCCCUCUUCUUGUGCCCCAAGAGCAUCCUCACACCAGCUGAGGAUGGGGCCAGGAAGAAGCGCUACACACCAGGGUGGUCAGGCUGAGACAUCUGUUAGCAGAGCUGGCUUGGCAGGAGUACAUCGUCGUGCUGCAGUGGGGCCCACGAGGGACAGAGAGAGAGGGAUGCUCCACCCAGGAUUGGCUGCUGCCCGGGGUCAGGACGUGAGGCUUACGGUAGGGGUUAAACAAUGUGGGCUCUGGGCCGGAACACGCUUCGUUCAAUGUUUCAAGGAACAGCCUAAUCGGCUGUAUCAGAGCCUGGGAAUGUUCAAGGCCCUGGAUCAGGUCUGAGCCGGCUGGGAAAAGCCUGCAGCUGACUAGUCACAAAACAGUCAGAGCACUCUGACCCCCCGCCCCCUCCCCCACAUAGGAUACAGAAAGAAAAACAAAACAAAAAACAGGGGCAACUAGGGGACACUGCACUUGUCACAUGAGACAGGCUUGCACAAAAGCACUGGCAAUGGCAUAUUUUGGAGACGUAGAGAUCUUGGUGGCAUUUAUCUUCCAGAAUGUGAUUUAUAUUGACAUUGUGGGAACAAAGGAAGAUACAAACUGUGCUUUCUCAAAACGACACACAAAUGUGCUUAAGCUUCUGAAAAGGGGACAGGAAAUGAACAAGAAUCGAGUUUUUGGUUACAGUGAAGGAAAAAAAAAGGCUGUGCCAUUUUUCAAGUCAGCUAUACCCAUGGGACAAACUCUUAUUAACUUUUUCCUUUUGUAUGAACUGGGAGUCAGUGCUUGACUCUUUACUGGGUCUUGAACCAUGAAACAGCUUUCUGGAAGGAAAAGAACAGGGAAAUAAAUGAAUUCCCCAGCCUCCAGAUGAUAAACUCCAAGAAAGCAAACAAAAUCUAAAGCCUCCUUGAAACCGAGCCCUGGGUUGAGAGAGGGAGAGGCAUUUGGCCUUGGCUUUGGACACAGCCAUCCAAGCGUGGGCAGGCAUUAAGGCCAGGUUGGCAAAGUGGGAAAGAGCCAGCCUGGAGCUUGGGAAAGUGGGGGAAGUGAGAGAACGCAGGAGGGCGGUAGAGCUUGGAGGAGGAGGACUGAGGCUGGAGGAAUUUGGAAUUACACAGUAGAUGGACCGCAUCUCUUAACUACUACCAUAUGUGAGGCUGAGCUGCAUCCUGUGCUGCCCUUUUCCUUCUAAAGCAAAUCCCUAUUACUGUGUAAUCAGAGCCUUAGAGGCUUGAGAGCAGCAGGGGUUCAACUGUCCCUUCCCCACAUCUCAAGGACCUCUAGCUCCCAGGUAGGAGGAGGUCCAUGCCACAGGUAUGUAAACCCCUAAGGUCAAAGCGAAGAGCAGUCCCGGGCCCCAAAGAGGUUUCAGUGGGGGAGAUGUAAGGCCUGGGGAUCUAUGCCAUCCUCAGCCCAGAGGCCAGCAGCCCGGACUUAACUGCAGAGCAAAAGGCACUGCGUGGCUUUGCCUUGCCCUGGCUCAUGCAGCUCUCCUCCUCAGUCCUCCUUUAGAAAGGACGAGUGGCAUGCUUGGCUCCUAUGCAGGCUACUCUAGAGCGCAUCUCUAGCCUCCAUCUCUCACUGCCUCCCCUGCUACACAUGGUUGUCCCCAUCCGACAGCAUUUGGGUGCAAAGGCUGGGCUGAAUCUCUUAGAUAUGGAGCUGGGAUGCCAAGCAGAAACUAUCUGCAUAUUCCUAUUUCUGGCCUCUCAGUUUGUCUUUUUUGAAGCAAGUUUCUCCUUCAUCAUAGCAAUUCAAUACAACCAAAGUAACCACAUGUAUUAUUUUAAAAAAUUUUUUUAAACCGUUACAACAUAUGUUAUAUGUUGUCUUAUAUCUGGCGUGUUUCCUACUUACUGCUUAUUGGAUGUAAGCAAUCUCAUCAUAUCUAGACUAGUCUUUCCUUAACUGGUUACCUAGUAUUCCAUUUAUAAGUGGGAUGGUUAAUUUUGUAUCAACUUGGCCGGACUACUAGAUGCCUGGGUGUCAUGUUUGUUCAAGUUCUAUUAUGGAAGUUCCUAUUAGGUAUUCCUGGAUGAGAUUAGCAUUUGAGUUGGUAAACUUUAAGUAAGCAGGUUGUCUUCCAUAAUGUAGAGGCAGCUCAUUCAAUCAGUUUAAAGCCAGAAUAGAACAACAACAACAACAACAACAACAACAACAAAUUUGUAUUCCUUCAUUCAAGAGAGGAUUCCGCCAGCAGAUAACCUGCAGACCUGAAGCAACAUUAGAAGGCUGGUGGAUAUACAGCGGGACUACCUCUGGCUUUGAAUUGCAAUUGUAACUAUGGUACAAUAGUCUAUUUAUUAGGAGUACAUUAGUGGACUCUGUUUUCAUCUUUCUGCUCUUACAGGACUACAAUGAGUUACGUUUUCAAACCGGGCCUCAUGCAGAUGGCAUGCCCACGUUCAACCCUCUAUGGUAUUUUGCUUCAUUUAAGGAAAUUAUUUAUCAAGCCAUAGCCAGACUGUUGUGGGUAUGUCUCUCUGUAAGUCUCAUUUUGAAAGUCACUAGUUAUUAGAGAAGUACAAAUUGUAAUCACAAUGGAUUAUCCUCUCCAUUUUCUAAACUGGCUAAAACUAUACCUUGUCAAAGGAAAUGAAGACAGAAUGUGGAGCCAUUAGAACCUGAAUGCCUGGCUGAUGGGAGUGUUAAAUGGCAGUGCAUCUUUGUAAAACAUUUGGCACCUUCUUAAAAAUAAAUAAAUGUAUCUAGGCUGCAAGCCAGGCAUCCCAUUUGUCAGCUGGAAACAAAAGUUUAAGUCCACACAAAGGAUACCAUGCCACUCUCCACAGCAGCUUUAUUUGUAGUACUCAAAAAAUGGCAACAAACAAAAGUUCAUUAGUUGGUAAACAACCUGUGCUCCCUCUCAUCUGGGGCUCCUGCAGUACAAAGCCGAGUCUCAAAUCAAUUACAUGCAGCCAAAAUGAAUGAUUAGGAAAACCACAUAAGCACUGUCAUAUGUAUAACACUUUAGAAAACUCAAAUUUGUAUACAGUGAUCAGAAGCUUAUCAGGAUUGCCUAGGAACCGUGUGUGUGUGUGUGUGUGUGUGUGUGUGUGUGUGUUGAGGGGGUCAAGGAAAAUCUCGGAAAUGACAGCUAUGUUAACUGUCUUGAUUAUUGUGGUCAUUUCACAGAUAUGUACCUGGGUCAAAUUCAUUAGAUUAUAAACUUUACUGCAUCUCAAUUAUAAAUUAACGUAGCUAUAAAAUUCUUAUUUUGAAUGUACGAAGGUAAAUUUUGAUGCUUUCUUUUUGUAGUCUUUCUAGAACAGUCUUAAUCUCCAUGUAAAUGAAACUGUCAUGCAGGUUUCAGAGAAUAUGUCACAUUCUAAAGCAAAGCAUAGUAAUAGUUUCUGAAAAUUAUUACCCAGUUGCAAGCUUAUAUUCGUGUGUAACCCUAACCUUUACUUUGCCUUUUAUCUCAGAUUCCAGUGCUUCUUCUCAAGUGGUCAGCUAAGCUGCGCCAUACAGAACUAUCAGUCUUCCAGACACACUAGCCUGUUACCAUGAGACCAGUUGCAAAGGCUCUAGCAUGGGCUCCUCUCCCUGCCCAGAGCCCAGCUCCCUUUGCCUGGCCUAAGUGCAGAGGCAAAAGAUGAGUGUGUAGCAGUGUGCCCAGCAGAGAGCCAAGGGAGAGGCCAGGCACUCCUCACCUUUUAGCAGCCUGAGCAGAUGCCUUCCAACAUGCCCAGACAGAACCCUGGCAACUGCCCAGAGCCUGGGAGUGAAGGCUGAGGUGGCCAGUGGGGAGCUCCUUUGUGAAGCCGCUGGCGCCUGGUACUGUGAGCACUGGUCGGUCGUUGGGUUGGACUGAGGGGAGAAGUUGCUGGGCCCUCUGGGCUUAGGCUGAGGGCUCAGCCUCCUCCUUGGCUGUACACCAGCGAUGCUGGCCCUUUUCACUUUCUCAUAGGAACUGGAGCUCUGACCCUCAGGUCUGCUACUCUGCAGAAGCAAAGUUCUAGGGAAACUCUGGUGUCUUCCAUGUCAUUUCCAGACACCCACUUUUCCUCAUUCCAUCCACUCAUUCUCCCUGUACCCCGAUCACAGCGGAAGGAAGGAGCAUCUGGCUCCAUUGCUUACAUCAAGAUGAGAUUGUUUUCCAUCUAGACAAAAAGAGAUGGAGCAGAGCUUGCCCACCCAUGCUCGCCCAGUGGGAACAAAGCUGCAUGUGACCCGCAGUAUUUAUUAUUUUUAAAAAUUAAAGUCCAGAUGUUUGGCAAGUCUGUAUUUGUAGAGGGAUGAGAGAGAUGCUUGAAAGCUGAAAUCUUUGCAAACAAAAAGGCAAACGAUUCUGCGUUCUUUGAUUUCACUUGCCUGAAAGUCACACACUGCUAAUUCGCAGGCUUGCCAUAAUUCAUGGACACAGGAUCUCCCUGUCCCUGGAAGACUUGUACAGCUCAUUAAACUUUGCUGUUUGUUUUGAUUUUAGAUACUCAACAAUAACUGUAAAAUUGAAUGUUGAUGUUGGUGAACUGUUUCAUCCUCAUUAAGAUGUGCUUAGACGACUCCAGCAUUAAAAACAGCACCAAAUAAGCUUGAUUUACAAAGAAUCUUUAAAUGGAGACUGUGUGUGGUAUUUUAAAAAACCAAACCCUCAGUUAGGUGUAUAACGGAGCUCCUUUCCAGUAGGAGUAAAUUUAUCCUCCCCAAUUAAAAAAAAAAAAAAAUCUGACUCCCUGCUGUCUGGGUCAUGAAGACAUGGACUAGAGAAGCAGGGGGUGGCAUGUUUAAUAUUUUCUGGAAAUGACUUGUAGGGUAUAUAUCA